GGAGGUAGUGACAAUAAAUCACAAUGCGGAACGUAAGUUUUGCAAUUGUAUUGAGAAAAACGUAAAAGCUUUAUCGAUAAACAAUUGGAGGGCAAGUCUGGUGCCAGCAGCCGCGGUAAUUCCAGCUCCAAUAGCGUAUAUUAACGUUGUUGCAGUUAAAAAGCUCGUAGUUGAAAUGUGAGUUUUACUAGCUAGUUUCCUCUGGAAACAUGGUAAUGUAAAAUUCUUUUAAUAAUGAGUUAUGGGUGUAUUAAUUUACAUUUAUAAUUGAUUAUUUCUUUUACUGUGAGAAAAUUAGAGUGUUCAAAGCAGACGUUUGUUUGAAUACAUUAGCAUGGAAUAAUACAUAUGUUUACAGCUGUAUGUAUGGUUUAUAAGCUGUAAAAAGAUUAAUAGGAACAGUUGGGGGUAUUCAUAUUCAAUAGUCAGAGGUGAAAUUCUGGGAUUUAUGGAAGAUGAACAAGUGCGAAAGCA
rnacentral:rRNA from 1 species